rnacentral:tRNA from 1 species
GCGGAUGUAGCCAAGUGGAUCAAGGCAGUGGAUUGUGAAUCCACCAUGCGCU